CACAUCUCCAAUUCAACUAUUGUAACCUAAACCUUCUUAUUAUCUCACAUCUUUGAUCUUCAGGGAAACGAUUGUAUCUUGGUACCUCAAAAACUAAACCUAACUCAGAUACCAUCGUAUCGUGUUCUCCUCCAACGCUAAAAACCAUUCUUCUUUGUCGCUCUCCAUCUCUCGCCUCUUUUCUUCUCUGUUCUCCUUCGUCUUUUGAUUUCUCUAACAUGAAAGAAGAAGUAAGGCACAUCAGAGAUUAAUGUUGAUUCACAUAAGAAAAAAUCCUAUCGAGACCAAGCUAAUUGGAAGCAAUUAUUACGUAUUAUUUUCCUUACCUAAUUGGUGGAGAAGUUGUCAAUUUACUGACUCAAAUAGAUAUGAUACUUUUGGAGGGGUGGGAAAAGCAUCGGUGUGAACAAAGAGAGCUGGCAGGAAAUGAUCUAUUCAGAUAUAGGUGGGCAUCAAAGCAGAUAUGAGACUCUUGAUGGAGGAA